GUUCUCACUCAAUCUUUGCUGAAGGAUGGCAUGAGAGCACAGGAGGAGGCACUCAUCCACAGCAGGUGGCUCUCCUCAGUCAGUACAGUGCAGCAGCCUUCGCAUGGAUGAUUGUCUGUCCUCUGUUGGGCCCCUUCUGAAGAGUUGGAGUUGGGUAAGUGUCACUCAUGAGAGCAGGAACACGAUCAGGCAAACCACAGACUCUGAAUACCUCAAGAAUGGGAGAUUGGUCUUGCCAAUCAGAGAAGCUCCAGGACUAGCCUAGUGCCUGGCACAUGCUUUAUACAAUUAUUCCCAAAUCUUCUAAACUGACAGUGAGGGAGAGUAAUUUGAAAGGACUGAUCAACUCAACAUCAUUUGAAGAUUUGCGCCAUAGCUGCAUUUUUCCAAUUUCCUGGCAUCUAUUCUGCUCUCCUGGACUUUUCAAAAACAAUUGUAAAUGUACCUGAAUAUACUGGUCUUCAUUCUGAAGAGCAUCAGAUGAUUGUUCAAAAGAAAAAAUUUGAAUUCUCGCAAGAAUCCUUUAUCACCUAAGCCUCCUACUCAGAAAAGCUGGCAGCUAAAGAACCUGCAGAGAACCAAGGGAAAGGACCCCCUAAAAUAAGUGUUUGAGCAUCAAAUUUAACAUAAUUCCUUAAAAUCUGACUGCAGUUCUCAAUUGUAUACAUAAGAAACACAAAUAGUGUAUUCAACACAGUUACAUUUUUCUGCACUGAUGCAUUUCCCACUGUCUUAGAGGUUUUUCUCCUAGCUAUUCCUAGGAUGUUUGGGCUUUAUUAUUGUCAUUUUCUCUUAAGUGUUUGAUCUAUGAAAUGAAGCAUUUUCAAAGCAGGGCUUUUACACUUGGGUAUAUGGUGCAGGAUGGGAAAAGUUUUAAGAAGAAAAGCAAUUUACUUUGCCAGUAGUAUUCUGUUUUCUCCCACUGUUAUUGAAGACACUUGUGUGUAAGUGGGGGCUUUUUUUCCUCUGUGCUUGUGAUAUUAAUCUUUUGCCAAGGAAAUGACUGUGAAGUCACCAGUUUAGCAUUAUGAUUUUACUGAAAGAUCAAGAAAAAGAGAGAUGGGCUGUGGGUCUGAAGCCCUAUUGUAACACAUGUGUAUCUUUAAUCAUCAGCAAUAUAUGAGUUGUCAUCUGUAGAAGAUUAAUAAGGUUUGGGGUUUUUACCAAAAACUGCUUAACUUUUGAAAAAUACUUUCUAUUGGUACAUAUUUACCUUUCUGUUGAUUUGGCUGACUUAGAACAAAUUAAUAAUGAUCUUAAACAAACUUAAGGGACCAUACCAUAGACUCAAGCAGUAAUAGCAGCACUCAUAAAUAGACUCCAACGUGGGUAAAUUCAGAGAUCUGAUGGUUUCCUUAAAAAAUAUUACAAAAAGUUAAGUGAUUUAUUAGUCUCCCAUUUGCUCCAGCUGGAGAAUUUUGAUCUGAAGAAGGAAGAAUUCCCCAAGUAUUCUAGAAGGAACUUACUUCACUGAACUGCACGUUAAACUGUGGAAAUCUUACCUCUUUGCACUGAAUUUAAACUCCUGACAAAGAGUCGCUUAACAGGCUGGGGUUGGAGGAUUAGGGAGAGGCUGUCAAAUAAUUAUUCAUAGUAGUCAGUGAAACUGGAAUAGAAGCAAUGUAUUUUAUCACUAGUUGAAAAUAUAAAUUAAAUUAAGGAAAAUUCUUUAUAGCUGAAAAUUGGUACAAGAUGGCUGUAGCUGGAGGGAAAAUACACGUGCCCACCAAAGCAAGUAAAUUUAAGAUGAAGAUCCUCUUUGGAAGAGAUAAGUGAAAUGUAAUUCCUCAAUUCAGUAGGUGGAAUAACAAAAGAGAACAAAUAAAAUUGCAACAAAAAUCAGAAUAUAACAGGGUACCCAAAAGCAACAAUUAUAAUGAAGACAGUGAAGAAUCUCUCCGACUCUUGCUUGUUUUCAGUGCUGUCAAUGCAAAGAUUAGGCAGUAUGCUGUUUCCUACACAACAAUUCUUUUAGAAGAACCUCACUGCAAGACUUCUAGACUGAACCAAUCUGAACUCUCUCAGUAAAUCUUUACUAAAAACAUUAUCUGAGAAGUCACUGGACACAUGGACAAACAUCUUUACAAUGUACUGUAAAGAGGUGGUAGGCUAUUGGCUCCCAAUGAGUCUACAAUUCCUAUGCAAAUAUGAGGCCUAAUUCACUGCAUGCAUGGUGUCAUCCCUACCACAAUUUUUUUUAAAAAAGGGUCCUAAGCACUAAAGUGAGAAUUAGGUAGGAACCAAAAGAACAAUGAAAUAUUGCCAUAUUGCCAAACUGCUGAUCAGGUUGAGUUGAUUUAGGUUUUGUCCAUGAAGGCUCAGUUCAUUUGUAGAAGUUGGCAGUUAAAGGUUCUUCAUAUUUAGAUAUUCCAUCUUUACCAAAAGGAAAGAAAUACGCCACAUAACAUAUCCGACUGAAAAUGUCUACAACACACUAAAAGCAUCUAAUAGAUUUUUUAUAACACAAACCAUAUUGAGGCAAUUCAGUCCAGAGAAAAGACAAGCCACAUAAAUUAAGAAUACAACAAGAAUUUUAGAAAGAGAGCAAACCAGAGUGGUUUCCCACAUUAUCUCACCAGCAAAAUAAUAAUAAUAAUAAUAAAAAAACCCUUAAAAAAUGGGAGAAGUUGGCUGCAUAAAUGUCUUCUUUUGAGAAGUGUCUGUUCAUAUCCUUCACCCACUUUUUGAUGGGUUUGUUUUUUUUUUUCUUGUAAAGUUGUUUAAUUUAUUUGUAGAUUCUGGAUAUUAUCCGUUUAUCAGAAGGAUAGAUUGCAAAAAUUUUCUCUGAUUCUGUAGGUUGCCUGUUCAGUCUGAUGAUAGUUUCUUUUGUUGUGCAAAAGUUCUUUAGUUUAAUUAGAUUCCUUUUGUCAAUUACACCAUGGAAUACUAUGCAGCCAUAAAAAAGGAUGAGUUCAUGUCCUUUGCAGGGACAUGGAUGAAGCUGGAAACCAUCAUUCUCAGCAAACUAACACAGGAACAGAAAACCAAACACCACAUGUUCUCACUUAUAAAUGGGAGCUGAACAAUGAGAACACAUGGACACAGGGAGGGGAACAUCACACACCAGGGCCUGUCAGGGGAUUGGGGGCUAGGGGAGGGAUAGCAUUAGGAGAAAUACCUAAUGUAGAUGACGGGUUGAUGGAUGCAGCAAACCACCAUGGCACAUGUAUACCUAUGUAACAAACCUGCACGUUCUGCACGUUUCCCAGAACUUAAAGCAUAAUAAAAAAUAACAAAAUAAAAUAAAAUAAACGGGAGAAGUUCUGAGCAGGAGAAGAGACUACAUGAACUGAAAAACUGUAAGGUAAAAGAAGAUAAACAGAUAAUGAAAAAAUAGUGCUAAAAAUGAGAAACUAGGAAGUAAAAUACAAGUGACUGCUCUAGCAUGGGAACUAUUAAAUCUUUUAUUUUAUCAAGUCAAGGUAAAAAAAGAUGCCUGAGAAAAAGGAAAAUUAAAAAAAAGAAAGAAAAUUAUAAAACAAAAGGAAAAUAAAUGUGAAUGGAACACACAAAUAAAAGACAGAGAAAUUGAAAUGAAAGAUACCCAGUCCACUUGAAUUCAGUACGCCGUUUUUGUGCUUAGGUGGCAGACACCCUCUCCUCCAUCCACAAGGGCAAGGGUGUGGCACACAUACCAUUCGUUAGUGCUGGAACCUCAUUCUCUCCUGCACAGAACUUACUUUACUCCAAAGCGUGUAUUUUCAUACAUGCCUUAGUGGAACAAAUUCCUCUCCCUCUUUUCUUUAAAUUUAAGAGUUCUAUUUAAGAAAGGGUCAAACACCUUCUAAAUAUGAGAAGUGAAGGUUGUGGAAAAAGAAGCCAAAAGGGAGCACGUCAGUGUUGGUUCAUCACACAACUGUUAGGAAAGAACAGGAACAGUCACCUUGGGCUUUAACUGCGGGGCCAACAGCUAUGCUUGGUUUAGCCUGACUUCUUUUAGGAAUGUUGCCUAAUUUUGGCAUUGUUUGUGGGUUUCAUUUCUCUUUGGCCACUGUAAGACAUCUUCAUAAUGAUCUUUCCUAGACUACUACUGACGUUAUCUAUGUGACUGGCACAGAGAAAGAAAGAAGCUUAUUCCAACAGUGAAUUAUAAAAUUUGUCACAAAGAGGUUAGAGAGUAGGGCCAUAAGGAAAGUCAAUAUCUUAUGCUUCAUUUUUCUGUGCCUUUUAAAUUUAGUUUUCAUAAGAUUCAAUGUUUGAAAAUGGGUUCUGAGUGAAAACAAGUUAAAACGAUCAUGUAACAGCAUUUGUAGCUUGAAAAAGAAAAUAAAAGAAACAACUGUUAGUCUUAAAAGAGGUUUACUAAAUACUGUGUACCUAAGUUACAAAUUAAUGUGAGCCAUCCUACUUAUAGUUUACCUUUUUGUGACAGUUAUAAAAUCAUCAAUCAAAUUUAAUUGAAUUUAAAACUAAAUUGCAGGCUGGGCACGGUGGCUCACUCCUGUAAUCCCAGCACUUUAGGAGGCUGAGGCGGGUGGAUCACUUGAGCUCGGGAGUUCAAGACCAGCUGGGCAACAUGGUGAAACCCUGUCUCUACCAAAAAUACAACAAAUUAUCCGGAUGUGCUGGUGUGUACCUAUGGUCCCAGCUACUUGAGAGGUUGAGGUGAGAGGAUUGCUUGAGCUCAGCGGGUGGAAGUUGCCGUGAGCCAAGAUCAUGCCACCGCACUCCAGCCUGGGCGACAGAGUGAGACCCCAUUUCAAAAACAAAAAACAAACAAACCCCCAAACUAAAUUGCAUUUAGCCAACUGCUGGAAAAUCAUGAGAUUUUUAAAUUUUAAUGACUGUUUUCAACCUGUCUAUCUGGGCACCAUAAGAGCUCUGGAGAGUACCCUAAUUCAAGUCUCAGCUCUGCCACUUAAAUCCACAUAAGCUGACCCAAGUUUAAUUGCUCUCUUUGUGCCUCAGUUUCCUCAACUGUAAAAUAACAGAGAAAAAAAGGGACCUACCUCAGAAGGUUAUUGUGAGCAUUAACCAGAGGAGCUUUUAAAAAUGCUGCUCCCCACACUAAACCUGUCCAAUUACAUUAGACCCUCUGUGGGUGAAACCCAGCACCAGAAAGUUCCACUAUCACCAUCAAAGACUCCAUUCUGAGAAACAAGAGUGAGCUGAAAAUGUGAUUCAGAUAAAAUAUGAAGUCUAAUUUUCAAGAGAGAGAGAGUAGUCCUCACACUUGGAGGACAGGAAACUUGCCAGUCUUUUUUUUUUUUUUAAUAAAAACAAAAAUUCAUCAGAUGGUUAGGUUCAAACUAACCUCCCUCCCUACUUGGUAGUAAAUAUGCCACCUACUCCCUAAACAUCUUGUGCCUGGUGGAGGGGGUUAAAGAAAAAUGGAUAAAGGGCAGGUAAAGAAUGCUGAGGGAGGCCCAUAUGGCAAUCACUUUGCUAUUACAGCUGCCUGAUCAUGCCCCUGUACCUCUGAUAUGUCCAACAGAUUCCCCAACAAAAUACCCUGUGGUGUCAAUAACUUUCAAUGCCACAAUAUUGAAGACUUUACAUUUCACUUAUUUAAAGCAGAUUAAAAGAACAAGAUUGCCUUCCAUAGAAUAUGCAGCUGCUCUUAUUCCAUGUAGAUGGAGAUUCUAUGUCUGUGUGUUUAAGCACAAAAUACCCACAAGUUCAAGUCUCUCGAUUGUGGGUGUCAGAUUAACUAUUUUUGCCUCCUCCUCAACACAUGCUCAUUUGCUUCCUUAGAGCCAGCAUUAAUUUGGUUAGAGCAGAUGGACAGAACUAAUUAGGAAAUUCUUGGAAAUGAGGAUGUCUGUAUACCAGAAGAAGGAAUUGCCUUAUCUCAUAUAGCCGACCUACCACUGAACUUUCACUUCCUACAGCCUCUCUUCAACCACCUUCCUCACACCCACCUAAGAAAAGCCAUUUCUGAGGUCUUCCUUGAUUGUGUUUGGAUCACUGCCAUUAGAGGCAUUCUGACUGAACAGUGGGUACACAGAACUGCAAGGAGAGGGAGAUUAUCAAAAUAUCAGGUUAUACAAAGCCACAUAAUGAAAUCUUCAUAUGCCCCAAGAACAGCCCACUCUUCAAUUUACUGAGCCAAUUGAAGAUGAUUUUUUUCCUACCAACGAUUUUGUUUAAUAGUGGUGAAGCCAAUAACUGAUAUUUUAUUUAUUUAUUUAUUUAUUUAUGAGACAGGGUCUUGCUCUGUUGCCCAGGCUGGAGUACAGUGACAUGAUCACAGCUCACUGCAGCCUCGACCUCCUGGGCUCCAGUGAUUCUCCUGCUUCAGCCCCCUGAGUAGCUAGAACUACAGGCAUAUGCUACCAUGCCCUGCUAAGUUUUAAAAUAUUUUCUGUAGAGACGAGGUCUCACUAUGUUGCCCGGACUCGUCUUGAACUCCUGGCCUCAAGUGAUCCUCCCCUCUUGGCCCUCUCGAAGUAUGGGAUUACAGGCUUGAGCUAUCAUGCCAGCCUUAACAUUCCACUAGACUUGCUAAACACCUGAACAUAGGCAUCCCUUGGACUUCAUAUAAACUUUGUCAUGCUUGUCUGUCCUUCUUGUGACCAGUCACUUGGCCUUAGUUGCUAUAUUUAG